rnacentral:rRNA from 1 species
GAUGAACGCUGGCGGCGUGCCUAACACAUGCAAGUCGAGCGAUUCUCUUCGGAGAAGAGCGGCGGACGGGUGAGUAACGCGUGGGUAACCUGCCCUGUACACACGGAUAACAUACCGAAAGGUAUGCUAAUACGAGAUAACAUAAGAAAUUCGCAUGUUUUUCUUAUCAAAGCUCCGGCGUGUACAGGAUGGACCCGCGUCUGAUUAGCUAGUUGGUGAGGUAAUGGCUCACCAAGGCGACGAUCAGUAGCCGACCUGAGAGGGUGAUCUGCCACAUUGGAACUGGGACACGGUCCAAACUCCUACGGGAGGCAGCAGUGGGGAAUAUUGCACAAUGGGCGAAAGCCGGAUGCAGCAACGCCGCGUGAGCGAUGAAGGCCUUCGGGGCGUAAAGCUCUGUCCUCAAGGAAGAUAAUGACGGUACUUGAGGAGGAAGCCCCGGCUAACUACGUGCCAGCAGCCGCCGUAA